rfam:Populus trichocarpa scaffold_14_contig_142, whole genome shotgun sequence.
UCUAGAACUCGAGAUAUAGGCUGAACACUAAACAGUAUUUGAGCUACAGGAUAGAUUCAGACUUCUCCGUUGUUGCUACAAUUUGGACUUGGAAACGGCCUUUUUAAAUCUUGGACUUCCCAUGAAAGUUUUAGGCCUAUGUCUUAGAUUUCUAUC